AUGGCACUCAAAAGCACCAGCAGCCUUGGAUCAGUGGGUGCCCUGCAUUGCGGAUAUUCAUGUUGCAAUUAUAAGGAUGCUGCUCCUCUGCUAAUAGUGUCAAUGGCACUGACAUCAAGGCCAAAGAUGCUGGAAGAUCUGCUGCAUCAAAACUUGGAGAAAUAUGCUGGAAGAUCUGCUCCAUCAAAACUUGGAAGUAAACAAAAAAAGAAGCAGAGAGAUAAUUUGGAAAGAAGAAAUCCAGCAGAGCAGAACUGUGAAGGGAUAUCCCUGGACAAAGAUUCUGUCCCAGGCCAACAGAGGACACAGCUAGAGCAUUUGGAAAAAAUACCAGUAGGUUUCAGAUGUAUGUAG
rnacentral:lncRNA from 1 species